AUUGAACGCUGGCGGCAUGCCUUACACAUGCAAGUCGGACGAGUGGCGGACGGGUGAGUAAUGUAUGGGAACGUUCCUUAUGAUGGGGGAUAACUAUUGGAAAGGGUAGCUAAUACCGCAUACCAUCCGAUGUGCCGAUGUGGGAUUAGCUGGUUGGUGGGGUAAAGGCUCACCAAGGCGACGAUCCGUAGCUGGUCUGAGAGGAUGACCCGCCACACUGGGACUGAGACACGGCCCAGACUCCUACGGGAGGCAGCAGUGGGGAAUUUUGGACAAUGGGCGCAAGCCUGAUCCAGCCAUGCCGCGUGUCUGAAGAAGGCCUUCGGGUUGUAAAGGACUUUUGUCAGGGAAGCGGUACCUGAAGAAUAAGCACCGGCUAACUACGUGCCAGCAGCCGCGGUAAUAC
rnacentral:rRNA from 1 species